UGGGGAAUAUUGCACAAUGGGGGAAACCCUGAUGCAGCGACGCCGCGUGAGCGAUGAAGGCUUUCGAGUCGUAAAGCUCUGUCCUAUGGGAAGAUAAUGACGGUACCAUAGAAGAAAGCCCCGGCUAAUUACGUGCCAGCAGCCGCGGUAAUACGUAAGGGGCGAGCGUUGUCCGGAAUUAUUGGGCGUAAAGAGUGCGUAGGCGGCAAAUUAAGUCAGAUGUGAAAACUAAGGGCUCAACCCAUAGAUUGCAUCUGAAACUGAUAUGCUUGGGUCAAGGAGAGGAAAGUGGAAUUCCUAGUGUAGCGGUGGAAUGCGUAGAUAUUAGGAGGAAUACCGGUGGCGAAGGCGACUUUCUGGACUUGAACUGACGCUGAGGCACGAAAGCGUAGGGAGCAAACAGG
rnacentral:rRNA from 1 species